GACGAAGGGGGCUAGCGUUGUUCGGAAUUACUGGGCGUAAAGCGCGUGUAGGCGGUUGUCCAAGUUGGAUGUGAAAGCCUUGAGCUCAACUCAAGAAAUGCAUUCAGGACUGGAUGACUAGAGGACCGGAGAGGAUAGUGGAACUCCCAGUGUAGUGGUGAAAUACGUAGAGAUGUGGAGGAACACCAGUGGCGAAAGCGGCGCACUGGACCACAA
rnacentral:rRNA from 1 species